AGCUCACCAGCCCGAGCAGUGGGCGCGCGGGCGCGGUGUCUCCAGGCGGUCGCGGGCUGUCGCUUCCGACUUCUGUUUCCCACUUUCAGGGAUCACAAACUCGGGGUAACAGUGGCCCGGCGGGCACAUCCAGCUGUUGGCGUAUGUGAGCGCCAGAGAUGCCGACGAGAAGAGGGCAGCUCCGGGUUUAAUGCGGGCUGGAGACCCUUGGAGUUCCUUUGGCGUCUCGAAUCCAGCGCAGCCGUGGUCCGACGGAGAUCCCUGGGAUUCGACCUGCCAGGGAUGGUGCGGCCGGACCCUGCCCUAGAUCAGAAAGUCCCGUGCGUAGCCAGCCUUUUCGGGCAGGGUCUCUGAGGCAGAGGUCUCGCGCCCCCGGCGGGGCGGAGCUCCUAGAAGCGCAGGCCCUACGCGUCCAGCCCGGCUUUUGGGGCCGCCUCUAGGGCCACACUGAUGGUUGGGCCCAGUUUGUGUGUUUCAGAUGAAAAAUUCACAAGGGACAUGAGAUUCAUAUCUCAUGGGGAUCAAACCUCAUGUCAGUGGCACAGGAGGAAUUAGAAGCCGUGUUUCCUUCGAGACCUGAAGAUCCAGUUCUAGGUUUUCCUGCUGCUCCCAAGCUUUGGGCAAAGUAACUACACUUCUCUGAGCCUCAUAAUGGUGAUAAUACUCUUCCCACUUACCUCAUUAAGUUAAUGUAAAGGUCAAAGUCAUACAUGUUUUCUCAGUCAUUUAUUAACUGCUUGAACUAAAAACUGGACCCUAAUGUGUUGCAGAACAACUUGGGCAUUUUGGAAGCACCGUGUAAAAGUAUUAUUAGAAAAGCUUCUCUCAGCCUCCUGAAGUAACCUGCCUCCCAAGCUGCCUUAUUCCUAGGAGAAUCUUCAUCUUCCCUUUAUCAUAGCCCAGGGAUCCUGAAGUGGGAUGGAAGAAGGGUAUCUGACCUGGACUGGUGGUCUUGAGACCUUCUGGAAAACUGGAAAGAAGACUUUUUUUUUUAACUCCAUGGAGACAAAUGGAUUAAUCAGUUCACAGAUUAUCAUUAUGUUUGGUUGAGAGAGGAAGUCUGGUGACAAAAUUGAACGAGACAAAGACAGUAAGUCAGGAGAGAUUCUGAGUGUCGGGGCCAAGUUCUUGCUUUAAAUGCAGAGCGCCUGAAGAAAGUCUGGAACCUCACAGGUGGCUGAUGGUUUUUCCAGGCCCGCUGCUGACAGAUGCUGCUUUACUACCUGGAGAUGAGCCUUUCAAGGCCGUGUGUAUUCAAAGAGAGAGGAAAAAGGAAAUAGCUUCAGGUGUUCCUGUUCGAGCUGAGUUGCUGAACAGCAGAAGAGGGUGGCACUUGGAGGUUGGAUGCGGCACACAUGAAAGGACUUGAGAUGAAGAACCAGGAAAGAAAUAUACCAUGUUAUGCCCUUAACCGUAAAAGAAGAGAGGCCAGGUCAUCUGGUAAACGUUGGCCUGUAACACAGUUCAUGGAAGGCUGCUUGGUGCCCAUUCAUCCCCAAGACACCCACACGUGAGAAUUCACCAGUACAAAGAUGUUUAAGACUUAUUUCAGAAGGAAUCCAGAUGAUGAGUCCAUUUGCAGUUUAGAAAAACUGAAUUAUAGCAUUACGGUGGAGAUGAUCUCUACUAAAGCCUGGCACGCUGGAGGAAGAGCAAUGAGACCAGGGUUUCUACAGCAGAGCAGGACAAGGAAGGUGAGAUGCUGAGGGAUAAUGCAAUAAUAAUCGCCUUGAGUCAGUAAGCUAUGGCUGUAUAAUAAACGAUUCAAAAAUGCAAUGGCUUGAAACAAUAGCUUUGGUUCUUAAGGACCCGCGGGUCAUCUAGGGGUUUGCUGACCCAAGCUGGGCUGGGCCCCGUUCAAGCUGCAGGGUCUGACUGUGAUGGGCAUCUCCCUCAGGUCUGCUCCAUGAUGCUGUUUUGCACCUCAGGUAAGAGUGUAUCAAUGAGCCUGAGGAAACUCUUCUUGAUGUGGCAGCAAAGGCCAGAAAGAAAGCCCACUGACAGGUGCAUUUCAAGCUCGUGCUUCCUUUCUUGGAGGGCACACAAUGGAGCUCAAAGUCAAGGGGCAGGGAAGUAGACUUUGCCCAUCAGAACACCAUGGCGAAAGUGUGUACACAGAGAGAAGUGAUGACAAGGCCAAUGAUUUCAUCUACUGUAUCAGUUGGCUUGGGCUACGAAAGGAACAGAGAAGAGGCGGGGAGUGGUCAAGUUGUGCAUAAAUUGUGCACAUAAAGCUCACAGGAUUUGUAAGUAUAUCAGACAUGAGGUCAGAGAGACAAGGAGACCUUGAGGAUGACAUUCCUUAUCCACGUGCCCAGAAAUGUCUUUUUCUAGAAUUUUACUUUAGAUUGAUAUUUAGCUCACUUGCUCUAUUUCUAGUAUUUUGGUACUUCUCUUGACUUCCCCAAUCUCCUUAAAGACAUCUCAGUUUCAUACUGUUUUAUUACUAGGAGACAUAACCGAUCUGAAUCAGGUGAGGCGAUGUGUGUAUAUAUUCAGCAGCGCCGGCAUUCUCCUGCUGCUGCCCCCUCCACAAUAAGGCUGCAGUUUCUCCCCAGCAGUGUCCAAACUACCCCUUCAGUCCACCAAUGACUCCUCUCAAAAUGCAAAGAAGACUAAGUAUAGAAGCCUUUGUUUCUCCCUGAUUAGUCAUCAGCAUUAAAACAUCGGGUCUAAUGGUGCGUCUGUCCAUUCCUUCUUCCAUGUUUUUUUUCUCCAAACAAACAUUUCCAAGGUCAAACUGUAUUCUGAGUACAGUCUUUAAGACAGUAGCGAAUGUUCAGAGGAUUUUCAUCAUACUUGGUUAACACUUUUAAAAGUUUCGGCACUUAAGGUCAUAGGCUUUAGUUGUUUGGAAUGUUUAUCUAUGAUGAAUAGUCCAUUCCCCAGCGCUGGUAACUAAAUGAGGCGUCGCUCCACUGCGCUUUUGUUGAUGUAUGCAUCGACACGGGGAGUGUGCUCCAUUUAGCAAUGCAAAGAGGGUGCACAUUCAGUUUGUUCUGUUGCUAUGUGUACUGUUUAGUCCCAGGAUACCUUGAACUGGAAAGAAGCCCUGUUGAGUGACAGGGUUACAUAAUUCUACCUUCUUGGUAAACUGUCUUGGGCCUCAGCGCCCCCAGCUCAGAUAUCUGUCUAUCAGGAGACAUGUGGGUCUUGAAUUGUUCAUUCUGGUUUGACCCUAAGCCAAAAACUUUUGCAGAAGCCUGAGUCCUGGGCCUCCUUCCCAAGCAACCACCAGUGUCAUAGAAGUAACCAGUGCCUGCCUGUUACUGCAGCUCCUGUUGACAGGAAAUGCUUUUUCAAAAGAAAGGCAAUGAAAAACGGUUCCCUUGCAGGUGGAGUUUUCUGGCUCAUGUAAGGAUUAGAAAUGAAAUUAGCCAUUGGAAAUUUCAUUCAGAUCAGUCCAAACAUUGCAAAGUACAACAAACGCAGACCUUUCCUCAUUGGGUAAUCAAGUUCAAUUUCUCUCCAUGUCUUUUCUCCCAAGCAGACAGCUGUGAAACCCUUAUUAACUGUUUUUCAUGGACCCAGUUGCUGCUAAAGUCUACAGAGAUAGAACAUUCCAGAAUGAGCUCUGAGCCCUGACCUUGAAGGGCUUGGUGAUCUAGUCUGGAAUACCAGAGUCACCCAAAGAAACUG